GUGGCGCACGGGUGAGUAACACGUGAAUGACAUGCCCUUCAGAGGGGGAUAGCCCAGGGAAACUUGGAUUAAUACCCCAUGGUCUCGCAAGAGUAAAGGUGGCGCAAGCUGCCGCUGAGGGAUUGGUUCGCGCCCUAUCAGCUAGUUGGUGAGGUAACGGCUCACCAAGGCGAUGACGGGUACUUGGUCUGAGAGGACGAUCAGGCACACUGGAACUGAGACACGGUCCAGACACCUACGGGUGGCAGCAGUCGAGAAUAAUUCACAAUGGGGGCAACCCUGAUGGUGCAACGCCGCGUGGAGGAUGAAGGUCUUCGGAUUGUAAACUCCUGUCAUCCGGGAGAAAGACCUGGCUGUGAAUAGCAGACAGGGUUGAUAGUACCGGAAGAGGAAGGGACGGCUAACUUCGUGCCAGCAGCCGCGGUAAUACGAAGGUCCCGAGCGUUGUUCGGAAUCACUGGGCGUAAAGGGAGCGUAGGCGGUUUGGUAAGUCAGAUGUGAAAUCCCGGGGCUCAACCCCGGAACUGCAUCCGAUACUGCCAGACUUGAGCAAUGGAGAGGUAGCUGGAAUUAUCGGUGUAGCAGUGAAAUGCGUAGAUAUCGAUAGGAACACUCGUGGCGAAAGCGAGCUACUGGACAUUUGCUGACGCUGAGGCUCGAAGGCUAGGGGAGCGAAAGGGAUUAGAUACCCCUGUAGUCCUA
rnacentral:rRNA from 1 species